rnacentral:tRNA from 4 species
GGAGCUAUCAACCACUCAGCCAUCUCUCC